rnacentral:rRNA from 1 species
GACGAACCGUGCGAACGUUAUUCGGAAUCACUGGGCUUAAAGCGCGUGUAGGCGGGACGGCACGUCGGUCGCUGAAAUCCCCCGGCUCAACCGGGGAACGGGCGCCGAUACGACCGGCCUGGAGGGGCGUAGGGGGACCUGGAACUUCCGGUGGAGCGGUGAAAUGCGUUGAGAUCGGAAGGAACGCCCGUGGCGAAAGCGAGGUCCUGGACGCCUACUGACGCUGAGACGCGAAAGCCAGGGGAGCGAACGGG